CCCUUCUCUCUCUCCAUCUGCGUCUAUCUCUCCGAGCUUGCGCGAUCCUUCGCACUCUCAAUCGCAGCCUGCGAUUCUCUCUUUCUCUUCGAGCUCGUGCGAUCCCGCCUCUCUCUCUCUCUCUCUCUCAAUCGCAGCCUGCGAUUCGCAGGAACCCUCUGUACACAGCCAACCUUUGCCCAGCAACCUUAGAUCCACCGCACCCUCGCCAGUCGCCAGCAUCGUCGUUAGCCGAUUCGCCUCUUGUUGGUGCGCCGCAGGAAAGCACCUCUCGUCUUCUUGUCGCUGGGCCCAGACUCGCCGCCAUCGCCUCUCUUUUGCAGCUCGCCGACUCCGACACAGCUAUUCCAGAGCGAGGUCUCGAUUGCGCUUAUCUGGGGCUGGUUUCUGGACAGCUUGCACCCUUGAAGAAUUACAAACUUGGUCCGAUCUUCCAUAAUUUUGCUGGACUCUGGGAUUGUCUUGCUCUAUUGGUCAGCACAAAUAGAGCCUUUGGACAUUAUUACAACUGCAUGCUCCAAAGGACAUGUAAACUAAUGGGGUGUUGAUUUCCAAGUUGUUGAUUAUACGGUCGCAGAACCACAUUAUUUGGCGCU